GUGAAUCAUCAAAUUUUUGAACGCAAAUUGCACUCUCCGGUUUUCCGGGAGAGUAUGCAUGUUUGCGGGUCAGCCUAAAAAAAAUCGACAUUGUUGCUGUUAUUUAAUGGUGACUUUUGUCGGAGAUUGGGUUAUCUUAAACCCUUUUUUUUUUUUGUUUUAUGCGACUUAAAAUUUUUCUUUUCGAUUCUAUUAACGUUUCUAAGAUUUUUUUUUCUUUUACGUUUAAGGUUUAUUGAUUUUUUAUUAGACGUGACUGUGGCAUCGGAGUGCGUCCAUAAUGUU
rnacentral:misc_RNA from 1 species